rnacentral:rRNA from 1 species
GACGAACGCUGACAGAAUGCUUAACACAUGCAAGUCAACUUGUGGCGGACGGGUGAGUAACGAGUAAAGAACUUGCCUCACGGAUAGGGACAACAUUUGGAACCGAAUGCUAAUACCUGACACUGUGUGAGAGCUUUGCGUCCCAUUAGCUAGUUGGAGAGGUAACGGCUCACCAAGGCGAGGAUGGUUAGCCGGCCUGAGAGGGUGAUCGGCCACAAGGUGACUUGGACGCUGCCCGUACGCCAUCGGGGGGCAUGAGUGAGGAUUAGUGGGAGAUGGGCCGAAGUGUGAAGCAGGUAUUCGGAGUGCACGACGAAGUUUUCGGGAUGUAAAGUGCUUUCAGUAGGGAAGCGGUACCUACAGAAGAAGUGACGGCUAAAUACGUGCCAGCCGCCGCGGUAAUAC